rnacentral:rRNA from 1 species
CGCCUGUCUGAGGGUCGGCGAAGUCUUCGCAGGAACUCGCCUUUGGCUCGAGUUGCUGCGCCUUGGCGGUCGCUCGCUCCCGCUGCGGAGUGCGGCGUUCGCCGUAGCCGAGAACGGGUUUCGCACUAGGCUCUGUCGCCCUUCGUCCGGAAGGCAGUCCCGUCGACGUGCGGAGACGCAGCUCGCCCCGCGAGACGUGCGCUCCCGUGUCGAGCCGCGGACGGCCCCACGGUCGCUUGGCCUCGGCUGCCGGCGUCACCCCGCGACACGCGAGAGACCGGGCGAGGGAGGGGUCCGUCCCCUCCUCGUCCCUUCUUUCACACACUCCGACCUCAGAUCAGACGAGACUACCCGCUGAAUUUAAGCAUAUUAAUAAGCGGAGGAAAAGA